GUUUCCCUACGGGGGCAGCAGUGGGGAAUAUUGCACAAUGGGGGGAACCCUGAUGCAGCGACGCCGCGUGGGCGAUGGAGUAUUUCGGUAUGUAAAGCCCUAUCGGCAGGGAAGAAGCUGACAGUACCUGACUAAGAAGCCCCGGCUAACUACGUGCCAGCAGCCGCGGUAAUACGUAGGGGGCAAGCGUUAUCCGGAUUCACUGGGCGUAAAGGGAGCGCAGGCGGCACGGCAAGCCUGGUGGGAAAACCCGGGGCCCAACCCCGGGAGUGCAUUGGGAACUGCCGCGACAGAGGUCCGGGGGG
rnacentral:rRNA from 1 species